rnacentral:tRNA from 1 species
UAUAUUUUAGUAUAAAGUAUUUAGAAUUUUGAUUUCUAAGGUAUUGGUGAAAUUCCUUUAAAUAUAA